rnacentral:rRNA from 1 species
ACAUGCGACCAUAUCCAUAAGAAUAUACCGGAUCCCGUCCGCUCUCCGAUAGUCAAGCUUGUGAGAGGACAUUUAGUAGUUGAGUCGGUGACGAUCAGCGAAUCCUGUCUGUUGCAUGUU